rnacentral:rRNA from 1 species
AGUGAACGCUGGCGGCAGGCCUAACACAUGCAAGUCGAACGGCAGCACAGGAGAGCUUGCUCUCUGGGUGGCGAGUGGCGGACGGGUGAGGAAUAUAUCGGAAUCUGCCCUUUCGUGGGGGAUAACGUAGGGAAACUUACGCUAAUACCGCAUACGAACUGAGGUUGAAAGCGGCGGACCGCAAGGCGUCGCGCGGAUGGAUGAGCCGAUAUCCGAUUAGCUAGUUGGCGGGGUAAAGGCCCACCAAGGCGACGAUCGGUAGCUGGUCUGAGAGGAUGAUCAGCCACACUGGAACUGAGACACGGUCCAGACUCCUACGGGAGGCAGCAGUGGGGAAUAUUGGAAAAUGGGCGCAAGCCUGAUCCAGCCAUGCCGCGUGUGUGAAGAAGGCCUUCGGGUUGUAAAGCACUUUUGUUGGGAAAGAAAAGCGGUCGGUUAAUACCCGGUCGUUCUGACGGUACCCAAAGAAUAAGCACCGGCUAACUUCGUGCCAGCAGCCGCCGUAA